rnacentral:tmRNA from 1 species
GGGGGCGUUUUGGUUUCGACUGUCUGUGGAGGUCAUUUCGUGCAGGGGAGUGUGGGCAUGCACUUUAAAAAGGCCCAAAACCAUAGUUGACAAUGAUAAUGUCAUACCGUUCCCUGUCAUGAGAAAUCAUGAUGUGGAAUUUGCCCUCGCCGCUUAGGUCGGGCACGGGGUUCUUCGGUGACCUUGAUAUCCAACAUCGAAAAUAAAGGUUUGUUUAUUUUCCUUUCCCAAAAGUAAACGGUUUGUUACUAAUGAAGUUACCCUGAUUAAUCAGGUGGCGCGCUAAACUGGUUGGGUGUUUAGCUAUCCCUGUGAAUGACGAAGUGGUUGAAGUGUGGCAGGACGCGGGUUCGAAUCCCGCCGCCUCCAUUG